rnacentral:rRNA from 1 species
UACAGAGGGUGCGAGCGUUACUCGGAAUUACUGGGCGUAAAGCGCACGUAGGCGGCUUUUCAAGUCGGUUGUGAAAUCCCCGGGCUCAACCUGGGAACUGCAUCCGAGACUGCAUUGCUAGAGUAUGGGAGAGGAAAGCGGAAUUUCUGGUGUAGCAGUGAAAUGCGUAGAUAUCAGCAGGAACAUCAGUGGCGAAGGCGGCUUUCUGGACCAAUACUGACGAUCAGGUGCGAAAGCGUGGGGAGCAAACAGG